rnacentral:rRNA from 1 species
CUACCCGUGCCAGCAUUUUGAGGAUGCCGCAGGGAGAUAUCGUGAUCCCGCCGCCCGGAGGUGGAAGAAGGUGUUUGAGUGAUAAAGCACUUUUGGUUACGAGUAAAUUCAUAAACGUAAUAAGUUAGUGUUUUGACGUUACCAACAGAAUAAGCACCUUAUAACUCUGUGCCAGCAGCCGUGGUAAUACAGAGGGCGCAAGUAUUAAUCAGAAUUGGUAGGCGUAAAGCAGGUCGUAUGUGUUUUUGUUAAGUUGUGAUGUGAAAUCACCCGGGCUCAACCUGGGAACUGCAUCCAAAACUGGGGAUCUAGAGUAGCGGCAGAGGGAGACUGGUUUAAUUUCGUGUGUAGCGGUGAAAUGCGUAUAUAUAGGAAGGAACACCAGAUGGCGAGGGGGUCCAUCUGUGGGCUCAUACUGACAGUGAGGUGCGAAAGCGUGGGGAGCAAACAGGAUUAGAUACCUUGGUAGUCCACGCCGUAAACGAUGUCAACUAGCCGUUGGAAUCCUUGAGAUUUUAUUGGCGCAGCUAACGCAUUAAGUUGACCGCCUGGGGAGUACGGCCGCAAGGUUAAAACUCAAAUGAAUUGACGGGGGCCCCCACAAGCGGUGGAGCAUGUGGUUUAAUUCUAAACAACGCGAAAAACCUUACCACGCCUUGACAUGCAAACAACUUUCCACAGAUGGAUUGGUGCCUUCUGGAACUCUGACACAGGGGCGUGCAUGGCUGUCCUCAGCUCCUGUCCUGAAAAGUUGGGUUAAAUCCCGUAACCAGCGCAACCCUUGUCCCUAUUUACCAACACGUUAUGGUGGGCACUCUAAGGAGACUGCCGGUGACAAACCGGAGGAAGGUGGGGAUGACGUCAAGUCAUCAUGGCCCUUACGGCCUGGGCUACACACGUGCUACAAUGGUCGGUACAGAGGGUUGCCAAACUGCGAGGUGGAGCUAAUCUCACAAAACCGAUCGUAGUUCCGGAUUCGGGAGUCUGCAACUCGACCCGCGUGA